UACGUAGGGGGCAAGCGUUGUCCGGAAUCAUUGGGCGUAAAGAGCGUGUAGGCGGCUCGGUAAGUCCGCUCUGAAAGCCCGGGGCUCAACCCCGGGAGGCGGGCGGAUACUGUCGAGCUAGAGUCCGGAAGAGGCGAGUGGAAUUCCUGGUGUAGCGGUGAAAUGCGCAGAUAUCAGGAGGAACACCAAUGGCGAAGGCAGCUCGCUGGGACGGUACUGACGCUGAGACGCGAAAGCGUGGGUAGCAAACAGG
rnacentral:rRNA from 1 species